UACGUAGGGGCCCAGCGUUGUCCGGAUUCAUUGGGCGUAAAGCGCGCGCAGGCGGCCCGGUGUGCCGCCCGUGAAAUCCCCCGGCUCAACCGGGGGGGGUCGGGCGGGACUGCCGGGCUGGAGGCGGGUAGGGGAGAGCGGAAUUCCCGGUGUAGUGGUGGAAUGCGUAGAGAUCGGGCGGAACACCAGCGGCGAAGGCGGCAUCCUGGCCCUGACCUGACGCUGAGGCGCGAGAGCGUGGGGAGCAAACUGG
rnacentral:rRNA from 1 species